rnacentral:lncRNA from 1 species
CCGCCUCGGGGACGCGGCCCACGACGCCGACGACCUCCUCGACGACAGCGAGGCGGGAGGCGGGAGGCGCACGCGGAGGCGACAGGCUGGGUCAAGCAUCGGAAUUCCCGUGUGGCGUCCAUGAAUAAAGGUGUGGCGUCCAUGAUCCAGCAGUUUAGGGGCGCCUUGGAUCGUCGAGAGUCAUGUGGAUUCUCACCAUGCUCUGUCAGGUAUUCAGUGCUGACAGGGACAUGAACACAACGUGACUGAAUUUUAUCCAGGCGAUGUUUGAUCAACGUGUCUCUCAUGCUCUGAAUUGUUCCGUGGCCCAGGCCCAUCCGCCGGUCAGAAUUUCUGAAUAAAUAUGGUGUUCGUGAUUCAGCAGUGUGGGGGCGCCUCGACGUCGACUGUCAUGUACUCAUGUGGAAUCCUGUGUUGAGGUUCAAUUCAGCUACUUUUGGGAAUUUUGUGUGCAGACCUUUUGCCUAAAAAGAAAGAUUCUGAAUCCUUAGGUGAUGUCUGUUCUGAAGGUAGUUGAAUAGGAGCAACAGCGAACUUGUCAUUGCUGAUACCAAAAUAUACUUUAUUCGCCAAUGCAAUGAGGAGAUUAUAAACACUCGCACGAAUAUGUAAUUGAUGGUUUGACAAAGCAACGGAGCCAGGGACGGCACUGGCACGAGUAUGUAAUUGAUGAUGUAACGGUCAAGAUACAAACGAGAGCUUUUAUUUGUCAAUAAAACGAGCAUGUGUCGUGCCUUUUUAUUGCCGUGAAGAUCCUGACCAACACAGAUGAGGCUAUUUUUGGGGAAUUUGGGGGUUUCCCUAUUUUUGGUAGUUUUGGAGUUUAUAACUCAGCUCGCACCGAUGUGGCUAGGGUACACUGAGGGAUCAAAGUUUGAAGGCAUAGCUACUAGCUAAAGCAAAGCAGGCUGAAGGUAAAGCGCGAAAACGACGACCCGGAAAGGUAAUUGAUUAUGGACCGUCAGAUGACGGUUCGAGCUGUGUCUGAUGUCUGUGCGGCUGUGCCCCAAAAGUGUUCUCUUCAGUUAGUUACAGUGCAAUUCGACAGUUUCAGAGUUCUUCAGGGAUCCAAAGAAUUUGUUGGAUCAGACAGCACUUCGGUUCAAAAGAUUUUUUUUUUGUUGCCCUUUUUCAGCUCUGACUCAAAAUAAGGAAUAAGAAACGAUCUCCAUCCAGGUCUGCACUGAACCUACUCGCCUUGUUGAGCUGCGGUUUCAAUACUUCUGUCUCGACAUGCGAACAUCCAUGAUCUACCAGUAACAAAGACAGAGAGUUGUACACCAUUACUUCCAUCUUUUGAAUUGAAAGUGGACAGAUACGCAAACAUAGAGGUGAUCAGAUGAUGAAUAGACAAACACCGAUGAACGGGUAAGUGACACAGAGACAAGAUAAGCAACAAACACUCUGUUAUUGUAAGUGACACGAGGCCACCACCUAGAAGUUAUUAAAGCUAAACAAUCAUCACUAUGAUACAGGUUGAGAACACGACUAAAAAAUACAGCCAAAUCCUCUCACGCUCUGCCGGCGAACGUGCAAAGUAACAACACAAGAACCCACACAGAUAAGUUAGAUCAGGGGUUGGUUGGGUUGGAGAAACCAUGGUUUCACAACCAAAUCUUCAGUAGUGAGCAUCCAAGUCAGAUAAAAAAUCUGAUGUCGUGUAAUCAUCAGCACGCGUUCUCGUCGAGCCUGCCAAGGCGCACCCUGCUCCGCUCUCUGUUCUGUGUUUUCGAUGCCGAGUUGUCGUGCAGCCUGCCGAGGGGCACCCUGUUGUGCUCCCUCUUCUGCGACUUGCACGCCGAGUUCUCGUCCAGCGAGGUAAGAGGAAUGUUUGGUAAAUCUAGCCCAAUCAGUUUGCAAAGUGCCAAUGCAGUUGCACGAGGUUGAAUUUUGCAGGUUUAUGGCUGAUCGUCAUGCUUUAGCCGAGGAACGGAUGGAGUUACCAAAAAAAAAA